UACUACAGCCAUGCCACCCUGAACGAUUUCGAUCUCGUCUGACCUUGGAAGCUAAGCAGGGUCGGGCCUGGUUAGUACUUGGAUAGGAGAAUACCUAGGAAUAUCAGAUGCCAUAGGCG
rnacentral:rRNA from 1 species